GAAAUUUUCUUUUAAUUUGAAUCAUCUUUAUUGAAUUAUAAUUUUUCAUAUUAGCCAUUUCCAUUUCUUAUUGUACUUCUAUGAAUUGUUACAUCCUUUGUUCAUUUUUCUCUUGGAGUCUUCAUGUUUAAAAACUUAUGUUAGUAUGAGGGAGUUGUGGGGAGUGACUAUAAAGGGUACAAGGUUUCUUCUUGGGGUGAUGAAGAGGUUCUAAAAUUGAUUAUGGGCCAGGCGUGGUGGCUCAUGCUUGUAAUCCCAGCACUUUGGGAGGCUGAGGUGGGAGAAUCGCUUGAGCUCAGGAGUUUGAGACCAGCCUGGGCUACAUAGUGAGAACCUGUCUCCAUAUUUAAAAUACAAAUAAAAAUAAAAUGGAUUGUGGUAAUGGUUAUAAUAAAAACCACUUAGAUAUACACUUUAAAUGGGUAAACUGUAUAAGUGAAUUAUCUCAAUAUAACUGGUUUUAAAUAUUAGCAUAAAUCAUUUCCAUAUUAAGGUAUUAAGCCUCCCUCUUCCAAAAUCUGUAGGCAAAUGUUCUAAUCUCAUUUGCCUUUUACUUUCUCAUAUUCAGAAGAUAUAUAUUUUUAAAUAUAUAAUCUGCUCCUUAAUGAAUCUUAUUGCUUUUAUUUGGAAAAUUCAGUCACCCAUCCAAAGAUAGUCACUAGUAUGUUCUUCUAGCUUAUUUUCAUAUUUUUCAUCUGGAUUUUGGUGUACAUUAUAAAGCCAUAAUCUAGUAUUCUCCAAAAGUUUACCUUCCUUAUGUUCCUAGGAUUUUUGGAACAUUUUAUUUAUACUCACAUCUAUUUCGGGGCUACUACUGCCUUGGUCUAAGGGUUCAAAUGUAAACUAUUAGUACAUUUUCAAUAUUUUUUAGCUGUGAAAUAUGGUUUUAUAUCUAGUAUCUUAAGACUUCAUGACUUUCCUUUCAAAAUAUUCCUAUUCUUGCACAUCUUUCAGAUGAAAUUUAGGAUACUCUCAAGCCAUUGAGAACAUUAAUAGACUUGCAUUCAGUUAAUUCACAAAUAGAAGAAAUGUUUAAAAUAUUUCAUUUUAG
rnacentral:lncRNA from 10 species